GACAUUUUUCUGGAAUUUUUAAAAUUAUAAUUCUGACCUUUUCCUAACAAUGACUUUUCCUCUGAAUUAUUACUUUUAUCUUCAAUCUGUUUUUCUUCAGUAAUCUCACUUUUUUCUAGAGUUAUUUUGGAACUUUCUUUAAUUGAUUUAUCUUUUGCUAGAAUUCCCAAAUAAGAGUCACUGACUUUUAUCUCUUAUUCAACAUUUAAACUCUGACUUUCUGACCUCAGGAUUCUCCAUUUAAAGUCCAACUCUCCCCAAAAUUAAAAGUUUUAGACCAGAAGUUUUUUUUUUUUCUCUCAUUUUAUUGGAAAAUUAUCAGAAUUCUUAUAUUUAUUGUUCAGUAGUAAAACACUCUAAAGUCUCUUUACUAUCUCUGCAAGCUCUUUUGAAUGAUCAUUUAUUUUGCAUUUCUAUGUAUUAAAUAGAACAUAGGAGGAUGAAUUAGAGGGUCAAAUACAUGUCUCAUUAUCUUUAUAAUAAUGCAGAAUCAGGCUUUUUUCCUCUAUAACACACUCUUAAACCUGAACUUGUAGAUGAAUUUGCACUCAAGUUUUUGUUGUUGGCUAAUCAACAUGUAAUUUUUCCUGUUUUCAAAAGCCAUGUGAUUAACUUACUUAGAGGAGGGAUGGGUACAAAGGGGCAAAUUUAGGAUUGACAUUUUAUUUUUCACCUUUUGACAAACCAAAUGAGUUAAAAUGUAACAGAGCAGUUUGAUUGGUUGGGUCUGAUGGCUGCCCCGCCUACCUCUCUGCUGAUAUGUUGUUAAUACACCGUCUGAUGAAUGUACUUUUAUAUGUAGAGAGGAGAAAUGUAGAGAGCGAGCAAAGAGUACAAUCAGAGAGUUAAUUUUGCUGUUUGAUGAAAGAGAUGAAGAGAGUCAGAGUUUGAUUUCCACAGAGGACAGAUAGAAAUCAGACUGAAGGACUGAUCCUCAUCAGUGUCACUUUUUCUCUUCUGAGCCCUCACAGAAUUGUACUCAAAGCUAUGCAUCCAAAUGAAUCUACACAGGUGUCUUUCUGAGCUCCAGGUGUUUGUGUUUGACCUCUGACCCGUGCUGUGUGACACACCUGGAGACGCUGUGUUUUUACAGCUGUUUAAUGUGUGUAAACGUGUGUGUGAGUGUGGUGAGUUUGAUCCAGCAGCACUCAGUGUGGAUCUGUAUGAUAACAUGUAAAUAUGGACGUUUUGUAGCAGCCGAACAUGAAUACUCCUUUUGUAUUUGACUUUUAAUAAAAACAGAUUUUUCCCCAAA